CCUACGGGGGGCAGCAGUAGGGAAUCUUCCACAAUGGACGAAAGUCUGAUGCAGCGACGCCGCGUGAGCGAAGAAGUAUUUCGGUAUGUAAAGCUCUAUCAGCAGGGAAGAAAAUGACGGUACCUGACUAAGAAGCCCCGGCUAAAUACGUGCCAGCAGCCGCGGUAAUACGUAUGGGGCAAGCGUUAUCCGGAUUUACUGGGUGUAAAGGGAGUGCAGGCGGCUUGGCAAGUCUGAUGUGAAAGGCUGGGGCUUAACCCCAGGACUGCAUUGGAAACUGUUAGGCUGGAGUGUCGGAGAGGUAA
rnacentral:rRNA from 1 species